CCCCAGGUCAGGCGGGACUACCCGCUGAGUUUAAGCAUAUCAAUAA
rnacentral:rRNA from 1 species